CGGGUGUAGCUCAGUUGGUUAGAGCGCCAGUUUGUGGUAUUGGAUGUCGCCGGUUCAAAUCCGGUCACU
rnacentral:tRNA from 1 species